AAGGAUCAUUAUCGUGGGGCUCCGGCCCCGUCGAGAUAACACCCUUGCCUUUACAGUACCGCCCGUUUCCUCGGCAGGCUCGCCUGCCAAUGGGGACAACAAAACACCCUGAUACCACCUGUAACCGUCUGAUAAAACAAACAAAAAUCAAAACUUUCAACAACGGAUCUCUUGGUUCUGGCAUCGAUGAAGAACGCAGCCGUACGUCAGCGGGCGGAAUUUCUUCUCUGAGUUGCACAAGCAAAAACAAAUGAAUCAAAACUUUCAACAACGGAUCUCUUGGUUCUG
rnacentral:misc_RNA from 1 species